GGCAUCCUACGUGAGUCAUCAGUUUGGAAUAUUGGGCAAUGGGCUCAAGCCUGACCCAGCAACGCCGCGUGAAGGAAGAAGGCUUUCGGGUUGUAAACUUCUUUUCUCAGGGACGAAGCAAGUGACGGUACCUGAGGAAUAAGCCACGGCUAACUACGUGCCAGCAGCCGCGGUAAUACGUAGGUGGCAAGCGUUAUCCGGAUUUACUGGGUGUAAAGGGCGUGUAGGCGGGAAAGCAAGUCAGAUGUGAAAACCAUGGGCUCAACCUGUGGCCUGCAUUUGAAACUGUUUUUCUUGAGUACUGG
rnacentral:rRNA from 1 species